GAUGAAGAACGUAGCGAAAUGCGAUAAGUAAUGUGAAUUGCAGAAUUCAGUGAAUCAUCGAAUCUUUGAACGCACAUUGCGCCCCCUGGUAUUCCGGGGGGCAUGCCUGUCCGAGCGUCAUUACAACCCUCAAGCUCAGCUUGGUGUUGGGCCCCGCCGCCCCGGCGGGCCCUAAAGUCAGUGGCGGUGCCGUCCGGCUCCGAGCGUAGUAAUUCUUCUCGCUCUGGAGGUCCGGUCGUGUGCUCGCCAGCAACCCCCAAUUUUUUUCAGGAUGACCUCGGAUCAGGUAGGGAUACCCGCUGAACUUAAGCAUAUCAAUAAGCGGAGGA
rnacentral:misc_RNA from 1 species